rnacentral:ncRNA from 1 species
AACUUAUAGCGCCUGAACAAAAGGGAAUUAUGACUAAAGAUGCGUGUAUAUUCAGAUACAUGUUGAAUGAAUAAUUUCGCUUUUGUUGACGAGGAGGAUGGUUAUCGAAUUAUCGGCGGAUGCUAUCCCGGAUGUGGCUCAUUCGAAAGUUCAAUGGUUAAAGCAUAUGGGUGACUGUAUGUCCAAAGUCAUUGAAA